rnacentral:lncRNA from 1 species
GAGCAAUCUUUAGUGUUUCUGUACCAUUUCUAUUUCCAGAAAUAACCUGUUCAGUUCUAUGAUGAAAGGCACACACCCACACAGAAGAGCACAGAGACACCAGUGGCGCCUCAGUCAGAGACAAAAAACCCUGUCCCAGCUGCUCCAAGGCUGUCACAGGAGAGCAUCAGCUCCAGGGACUAGGAAAGACCCAGGACCAUGAGUCCACCAGGGCAAAUCUCUGGGGUACUACAUAGGACAGGACUGACAAGAGGACAGGAUGAGGCCAUUUGUGCUGUGUUUGUGUAUUUCCAUCUGCUUUACUCCGUGUUGCUUUCAGGCUGUGCUCAAAGGUGGUACCUUCGGCUCUGUUGCCCCGGGAACUGUGCAGGUGGAUGCGGGAAGUGGGAACCUGUCACUGCUCCAGGACCAGCAGGUCUCAGCCCAAAGCCAUGAGCUGUGCACUAAAUAUUGGCACAUGACAUCUUUUUGAGGAAGGAGCUUGGGUUCCCUGUGAAGCAGCAAGCUCAGCAAACCAAGACCACACUGAGCUGGCCUUGAAGUCCAGCUGCUGUGAAACUUCUGCUUCCACUGGGCUAGAAGAGAGCAUCCAACUUCCAAUUUCCUGCCUGCAGCAACUUUGAAACUGGCCCAUACAACUGAAAUGUAUUUUUUUAAUGUUAAAUUAAAAAAUUCCUACAUUUAAUACAGAAAAAUUAUUACAGAUGCUGAAAGGUUUCUAAUGUUUCACCUGAAAUGCACACAUUGGAUUAAACCCUU